GAAAAUAUCCUAGUUGAAAGCACACUUUUGACUUAGGAUAUUUUCAACUUAUGAU
rnacentral:miRNA from 1 species